AUUGAACGCUGGCGGAAUGCUUUACACAUGCAAGUCGAACGCCCUAGCAAUAGGGAGUGGCAGACGGGUGAGUAACACGUGGGAACGUGCCCUUCGGAUCGGAAUAACUCAGGGAAACUUGAGCUAAUACCGGAUAAGUGCGAGAGCAGAAAGAUUUAUCGCCGGAGGAUCGGCCCGCGUCCGAUUAGCUAGGUGGGGAGGUAAUGGCUCACCAAGGCGACGAUCGGUAGCUGGUCUGAGAGGAUGACCAGCCACACUGGGACUGAGACACGGCCCAGACUCCUACGGGAGGCAGCAGUGGGGAAUAUUGGACAAUGGGGGCAACCCUGAUCCAGCCAUGCCGCGUGAGUGAUGAAGGCCUUAGGGUUGUAAAGCUCUUUUACCCGGGACGAUAAUGACUGUACCGGGAGAAUAAGCCCGGCUAACUUCGUGCCAGCCGCCGCAGUAA
rnacentral:rRNA from 1 species